rnacentral:sRNA from 12 species
UCCUGACAAAGGUGCAUUUGCACUUUUGACAUUUGCCACGACAGGAGAUUGACAUG